CUUCUCUGCCUCUCUCUCUCUGUUUCUCUCUCUCUCUCUGUUUCUCUCUCUCUGUUUCUCUCUCUCUCUCUGUUUCUCUCUCUCUCUCUGUUUCUCUCUCUCUCUCACUCUCUCUCAUUCUCUCUCUGUCCCACAUGAGAAGACAGUGGGAAGAUAGCCACCUAUGGAGUGGAGGAGUACCCUCACCAAAACUGAUCUCAGAUGAGACUGGAACCCUGAUCUCAAACUGCCAUCAUCCAGAGCUAUGAGAAAUGUUUGCUGUCGAAGUCACCUCGUCUAGGGUAAUGUGUUAUAACAACCCAAGCUGAUGAAGAAAGCCACUGUCUGAUUAGAUGGGUCUCUCCUAAGGAAUUGGUUUCUUGUUAGGUAAUGUACCCUGGUAUCAAGAUUUGGAAAACAGUGUAAAUAUUAAUUCAAAGUAAUUAUUUGAGCUGUGCUGGUAACUAGACCUACUAGAGUAAUUCUGGCUCAAAUAGUUCUUGUGAUAUGCCCUGCUUAUUCUUAUAAGGAUUGAGAAGUUGACUAAAAUUUGUCCAUUAUUUAUUACCAGUGAACUCUGGUAUUUCCUGAGGGUAUUUUCUCAAACCUACUCGUUCCUUCCAGGCCUCUGCCACUUGCUCAAUGUAGUAUCCCAGCUCUCUGUCACUUUCCAUGCCUCACCUCAUGACGCUGCUUGCUAGUUCAGCCUCCCUCCUGGCAUGGGCCAGACAGCAGCAUAUUCUCCUUACCUGCUGUCAUGAAAGCUGUAAUAACUGCAAUGCCCAGUGCAAAGCUACCUAAACCCAGGAAGAAUCUGGCCUCCCCACUUACUUUCAAGGUGGGACUAGGUAACACAGUCCAGAAAUGUUGAGGAUUUCAGACCAUUAGGGUAUAUUCGGCCACUGAGAGUCAGGAGAAAUUGAGGAGCCAACAAAUUAUGUCUUCACAUUUACUCACUCUCUCCCCCACAGGAUCACUGUGGAGAAGGUGUUUUCAUUGGCCUCUGCACAGGCACCCUGCAUCACUCAUUAGUCAGUCGAGCUUCCUGGGGCCAGCUCAGUAGCAUGCCAACUUGUAUGUGAUUUUCUUCCCCUCAACCUUAAUGACCUGGUACUGCACCCAUUCCUAAAGUAUUAGCACACAAGCUUUCCUUUAGGCUCUGUUGGUUAGGGGCUCUUUGACUCAUUACCCCUUCUACCCCAGCUCACAUACACUGUUGCCCUGCCAAAUAACAUGUUUAUUUCAGUGAUGUCAGCAGGAACAGACAUUCAUGUCCAACUGUGUUGAUUCCUUCUUUUAGUCUAUCUUGGAAGUAGCGAAGAAUUUCUGCUCUGGGGCCUCUCUUUCAACUGAGGACACACAUCAAGACACAGCUGUUGCACCAGAAGCUGUAAUUCUGCAGGCCUGCCAACUGGCACAUUCCAUCAUAUAACAAGAAUUCUUGGGAUGUGGAAUCCAAAACACUGGCCAGAGACAUAGCUUAAUAUCACUACAGUGGUGUGGGAUGGAGUAAAUAUUAGUACUUGUUUUAUUUUUUCUGGUAAGUAGAAAAUUGGAAAUGGUACCCUCUUAUAGUUUCUUGCCAAAGAUGGAUGUUGGCUUUCCACAAAAGUGUAGAGCUACACAAGCCUUAGGAUUCUGUUAAAUUAAUUCUAAAUAUCUGAGAAGAAAAUUACUAAUAAUGUGUCAUGAAUUAGUGACUCCCAAGAAUUGAAGUCCACAAGAACCUCAGAAUGUGAUUCUAUUUGGGAAAAUGAUCUUUUCAGAUGCAAGUAAUUAAGAUCUUCAGAUGAAAUCAUAAUUCUGAACUUAGUAUGGGUUCUAACUACAAAGACUGAUGCCUUUAUAAGAAGAGGAAAAAACACAGAGACAUAGAGGUGAAGGUCACCUGAAGAUAAAGACAGAAAUUGAAGUUAUGCUCCCACGAGCCAAGGAAGGUUAGGGGCCCCCAGAGGUACAAGAAGAAAGGAAGUAUUCUCUCCUUCCUUUGGAAAGAGUGUGGCCCUGGCUAUAUUUUGAUUUUGGACUUCUAACCCCUAGAACUGUGAGAAAAUACAUUUCUGUUUGUUUUUAAAUCAGUUUGUUGUAUUAGGUUGGUGCAAAAGUAAUUGUAUUUUUUACCAUUACUUUUAAUGGCAACAAUCGUUAAUUACUUUCACACCAACCUAAUACAUUGUUAAGGCAGACCAAAGUAUUAGAGAGACCCCAAAAUCAGCAGCAGAAAAUGUCAGCGGUCUAAGAGAAUGAAGUGAGGAGUGAGAACAUACACACGGAAUAGGCACGAAUGGCAAAAAUCUUGAUGCUAAGUCGUGUUUUUGGAUGUUGCAUUACAAAUACAAUGAGCCCUUAUCAAUUAAAUGAUGGGCUUUCUGGUACUAUUGAAUGACAUCAGUUUCUUUUACUUGGGUAUAUUAACUUCCUUAACUCUACAUGAAAAAGUCUUUGCAUAUCUAGAAUAUUUCAUCAGGGAGUCAAAUUGUCUCCUGGAUAUAAACAUCAACAAACCAAAACAAGCUUACACAAGUGGAAAGCUUGACAUUGUUGAAGAAUGAGUGACAGAACCUCAAAUGUUUGAAUAAUGUUUCAUUCACAGCUGUUGUGGCUUCUAUCUAGUUGGCAAAACAUGUAAGUCUAGCCAUGAGCUACCUACCCCAGUCUGAGAAAAUUAUUUUAACAUCUAAUGGCCCUUGUCAUGUAACUCCUCAAGGUUAUACAUUUUUCCAUUGAUUUUACCAUGGAACCUAGAGUUAUCAAGAAGUUAAGAAGGGAAAUAGAUAUAAAUCCACUUAUCUUUAAUUAAAAUUUUUCCUAAAAAUUUUUGAUAUAGGCUUUUUGUAACAAACUGCCUUUAAGUAGGUUUUUCACAACAAAAGUCUACUCAUAUUCAUUAUAAUGUUUAUUAUGAGCUCUAUGUUAUUGCCUUAAUGACAGUUUCUUGAUAACGGAGAAUUUUCAAAUUAGGUAAUUUUCAGAAUUAGUUGUGUCACUUUUAUAUGGAAGCACACUUGUUUGUAAAUAGUUACCUUCACUCAAUUAAAAGGACCAUUUGAGUUCAUUUCAAACUAACUGAAAUGAUGAUAUAUUUAGCAGGAGUUUAUUGAUCAAAUGCAUGGACAUUACAGUUCUUACUUGACUUUAAUGGCAAAUUUCAACUUUUGCAGAAUGGGGUUACUUUGCUUUGGUAAACU
rnacentral:lncRNA from 1 species